rnacentral:pre_miRNA from 1 species
AGUGGGAUAGCUGGGUCAAAUAUUGGUUCCAUUUCAAGUUUUCUGAGGAAUCGCCAUACUGCUUUUCAGAAUGGUUGCACGAAUUUGCAAUCCCACCAGCAAC